CCUACGGGCGGCAGCAGUGGGGAAUAUUGCGCAAUGGGCGAAAGCCUGACGCAGCGACGCCGCGUGAGGGAUGAAGGUCUAGGAGUUGUAAACUGCUUUUGUACAAGGGUAAACCUGAAUACGUGUAUUCAGCUGAAAGUACUGUACGAAUAAGGAUCGGCUAACUCCGUGCCAGCAGCCGCGGUAAUACGGAGGAGCCAAGCGUUAUCCGGAUUUAUUGGGUUUAAGGGGUGCGUAGGCGGAUUGAUAAGUUAGAGGUGAAAUGUCCGGGCUUAACUCGGGAACUGCCUCUGAUACUGUUGUUCUAGAGAGUAGAUGCGGUAGGCGGAAUGUAUGGUGUAGCGGUGAAAUGCUUAGAGAUCAUACAGAACACCGAUUGCGAAGGCAGCUUACCAAUCUAUAUCUGACGUUGAUGCACGAAAGCGUGGGGAGCAAACAGGAUUAGAUACCCGUGUAGUC
rnacentral:rRNA from 1 species